AUCAGUGGUUUCCGCUUUUCCGUCUUCCCGAUUCUCUCUUUGCCAGCUGCCAUCCAAAUCAACCCUGAGGAUUGGGAAGGAACUAUACAUACCAGGAGGCAAGGAGCACUGGGGGCCCUCCUGGGACUGCCUGUCACAGCGUCCUCAAAG
rnacentral:lncRNA from 1 species